rnacentral:rRNA from 1 species
UUGCUGGGGUGAUUAGUGGCGAACGGGUGAGUAACACGUGAGUAACCUGCCCUUGACUCUGGGAUAAGCGUUGGAAACGACGUCUAAUACCGGAUACGACCAGCCCCGGCAUCGGGUGUUGGUGGAAAGAAUUUUGGUCAAGGAUGGACUCGCGGCCUAUCAGGUAGUUGGUGAGGUAAUGGCUCACCAAGCCUACGACGGGUAGCCGGCCUGAGAGGGUGACCGGCCACACUGGGACUGAGACACGGCCCAGACUCCUACGGGAGGCAGCAGUGGGGAAUAUUGCACAAUGGGCGAAAGCCUGAUGCAGCAACGCCGCGUGAGGGACGACGGCCUUCGGGUUGUAAACCUCUUUUAGCAGGGAAGAAGCGAAAGUGACGGUACCUGCAGAAAAAGCACCGGCUAACUACGUGCCAGCAGCCGCGGUAAUACGUAGGGUGCAAGCGUUGUCCGGAAUUAUUGGGCGUAAAGAGCUCGUAGGCGGUUUGUCGCGUCUGCUGUGAAAACCCGAGGCUCAACCUCGGGCCUGCAGUGGGUACGGGCAGACUAGAGUGCGGUAGGGGAGAUUGGAAUUCCUGGUGUAGCGGUGGAAUGCGCAGAUAUCAGGAGGAACACCGAUGGCGAAGGCAGAUCUCUGGGCCGUAACUGACGCUGAGGAGCGAAAGGGUGGGGAGCAAACAGGCUUAGAUACCCUGGUAGUCCACCCCGUAAACGUUGGGAACUAGAUGUGG